rnacentral:tRNA from 1 species
AAUUAAUGAGCUUGUUAAAGCUUAUAUUUUGAAAAUAUAGGAAAUAAAUUGAUAUUUAUAUUAAUUU